rnacentral:tRNA from 1 species
GGUUGAUGAUUCAGUGGUAGAAUUCUUGCCUUCCAUGUGGGCGACCCAGGUUCAAUUCCCAGUCAACACA